UGGGGAAUAUUGCACAAUGGGCGCAAGCCUGAUGCAGCCAUGCCGCGUGUGUGAAGAAGGCCUUCGGGUUGUAAAGCACUUUCAGCGGGGAGGAAGGCGGUGAGGUUAAUAACCUCAUCGAUUGACGUUACCCGCAGAAGAAGCACCGGCUAACUCCGUGCCAGCAGCCGCGGUAAUACGUAUGGAGCGAGCGUUGUCCGGAAUUAUUGGGCGUAAAGGGUACGCAGGCGGUUUAAUAAGUCGAAUGUUAAAGAUCGGGGCUCAACCCCGCAAAGCAUUGGAAACUGAUAAACUUGAGUAGUGGAGAGGAAAGUGGAAUUCCUAGUGUAGUGGUGAAAUACGUAGAUAUUAGGAGGAAUACCAGUAGCGAAGGCGACUUUCUGGACACAAACUGACGCUGAGGUACGAAAGCGUGGGGAGCAAACAGG
rnacentral:rRNA from 1 species